UGAAAAUCAGCAGCAAAUAUAUUCCUCCCUUCUUCACGGUCAGCCACACACCUGUUACAAAAUAAGAGCUUUUACAGCUGAACCUUUCUAUACUCAUGUUUAUAUUCACAGUUAUAAUAUAGCUGCAAGUUUACUGCACACAGAGUGAUUAUUUUGUCAUUGUCUUGAUUCUCACUGACCCAAAGGUGACAUGAACGUCUAUGAGUCAUGUAGACCUUCUGAAAACACUGGUGGACGAACAGAUGACUACAGAAAUAUCUCUCUUCAGCUCAGAAGUGUCGAACAGAGGAGAAAGCGUGAUGAUCCAGAGGAAACCUCUGACUACCAUAACGUAGAUCCAAACUCAGCUACAGGUCCCUAAAGAGAGGCACGGCAUCAAUAAAACAAGAGAAGGUCAACAGCAACAUGAAAAAACAAACAAAAACAUAAAAAAAAAACAUUAUGUCAGUGAUAUGGCAGCAUAUGGCUUCAUGCUGAGAAAGAAGUAUAAGGAAGGUCAGAGAGAGCUUCACUGUGUCUUUGUGGAUCUAGAGAAAGGAUAUGGUGCCAAGCGUGUGGGGUACUGCGUGAGGAUGUCAGGAGUAGCAGAGGAGUAUGUCAAGGUGGUGCAGGACAUG